ACGGGAGGCAGCAGUAGGGAAUAUUGGUCAAUGGGUGAGAGCCUGAACCAGCCAUGCCGCGUGCAGGAAGAAGGCCUUCUGGGUUGUAAACUGCUUUUGCCAGGGGAUAAAAUGACCUUGCGAGGUUAAUUGAAGGUACCUGGUGAAUAAGCCACGGCUAACUACGUGCCAGCAGCCGCGGUAAUACGUAGGUGGCAAGCGUUGUCCGGAUUUAUUGGGUUUAAAGGGUGCGUAGGCGGCCCUGUAAGUCAGUGCUGAAAUAUUCCAGCUUAACUGGGAGGGUGGCAUUGAUACUGCGGGGCUAGAGUACAGAUGAGGUAGGCGGAAUUGACGGUGUAGCGGUGAAAUGCUUAGAUAUCGUCAAGAACACCUAUAGCGAAGGCAGCUUACUAGGCUGUAACUGACGCUGAGGCACGAAAGUGUGGGGAUCAAACAGGAUUAGAUACCCUGGUA
rnacentral:rRNA from 1 species